CCCCUCUUAGGAUCGCACAGGGAGAGUUUCCAGUACACUACUAUUCUCAGCUAUGGGAGGGAGAGUCAAGCAGAGGUCUAGUCAUUCCAUUCCUAGCUUGGACAGUAGCUAGCGAGUGGAAGGCAAUCUGUUACAAGU